CCUACGGGUGGCAGCAGUGGGGGAUAUUGCACAAUGGGCGAAAGCCUGAUGCAGCGACGCCGCGUGAGGGAAGACGGUCUUCGGAUUGUAAACUUCUGUCCUUGGGGAAGAAGAUGACGGUACCCAAAGAGGAAGCCCCGGCUAAAAACGUGCCAGCAGCCGCGGUAAUACGUAGGGAGCGAGCGUUUUCCGGAAUUACUGGGUGAAAAGGGGGCGUAGGCGGGGAUGCAAGUUGGAUGUUAAAACUAGCGGCUAAACCGGUAAUUGCAACCAAAAAUGGAACUCUUGAGUGAAGUAGAGGCAGGCGGAAUUCCGAGUGUAGCGGUGAAAUGCGUAGAUAUUAGGAGGAACACCAGUGGCGAAGGCGGCCUGCUGGGCUUUAACUGACGCUGAGGCUCGAAAGCGUGGGGAGCAAACAGGAUUAGAUACCCGGGUAGUC
rnacentral:rRNA from 1 species